rnacentral:lncRNA from 1 species
CCCCGUGUGUACACAGGGAAACAGGCUUGGGCACACAAACUACAUCGUUGUAGAGGUGCACAUACACUGAUGCGCCCAGAAAUAUACACACACACACGCACACACACACACACGCACACGCACAGGUUGCUCUCCAGCCUGCUCAUCUUCCUUUCUCCCUAGGUCCCCCUGCAAACACGUCUGUGACCACGGAUAGGGUCACUGUCUGUGUCACCUGCUCAGGACUCAAUCGUUGUGACACUGUCCUCUGCCCAGCAGAUCGGAACUACUGCCUUCAGACAGCAGGCAUCCUAGCCUUAGGGAAAGGGGACUCUGUCGUCUGGAGAAGCGGCUCCUGUGUGGCCCUCAGGGACUGCCUACUUGGCAGCUCUGUCUCUGCCUUCACCUCCAGCGUGGACUUUGGCUUCCAGAUCAACUCCACCUGUUGCCAAGGCAACUGCCAAGCACUCACUCCUCCCGAAGGGGUGCCAGCCUCACACCCCCUGAGCGGGUUCCUGUGUCCUACAUGUUCUAACGGCCACCCGGGGCCCUGCAAUUCCUCCUUCUACGUGCAGUGUCCCGUUGGGGAGACUGAAUGUGUCCAGCUGGACCUGCUGUCUAUAGAAGGUAAUAUACACGUGUGUACGUGCACGCGUGUGCCCGUGAGUAAGCCUGA